CAAAAGCUUGGUCCUGGCUUUACUAACAGCUCUAACCAAAUUUAUACAUGCAAGUAUCCGCAACCCUGUGAGAAUGCCCUAUCCGCCCUGCCAGGGAAUUAGGAGCCGGUAUCAGGCGCACCCUGUGUAGCCCAUUACACCUUGCUCAGCCACACCCUCAAGGGAACUCAGCAGUGAUAAAUAUUAAGCCAUGAGUGAAAACUUGACUCAGUUACGGUUAAGAGGGCCGGUAGAUCUCGUGCCAGCCACCGCGGUUAUACGAGAGACCCAAGUUGUUAGCCCCCGGCGUAAAGAGUGGUUAAAGUUCAAAACACCAAACUGAGGCUGAACAUCUUCAAGGCAGUUAUACGCUCCCGAGGAUAUGAAAAUCAAUCACGAAAGUAGCCCCACUUUACUUGAACCCACGAAAGCUAAGGCACAAACUGGGAUUAGAUACCCCACUAUGCUUAGCCCUAAACAACGAUACCUAUCUACACCCACUAUCCGCCCGGGUACUACGAGCAUUAGCUUAAAACCCAAAGGACUUGGCGGUGCUUUAAAACCAUCUAGAGGAGCCUGUUCUAGAACCGAUAACCCCCGUUUAACCUCACCCCUCUUUGUUUAACCCGCCUAUAUACCACCGUCGUCAGCCCACCCUGUGAGGGGUCAAUAGUAGGCAAAAUUGGCACAACCCAAAACGUCAGGUCGAGGUGUAGCGUAUGGAGGGGGAAGAAAUGGGCUACAUUCUCUGCUCAGAGAAUAACGAAUGGUGUAAUGAAACGUACACCUGAAGGAGGAUUUAGCAGUAAGCAAGAAUCAGAGUGUCUCGCUGAAACCGGCCAUGAAGCGCGCACAUACCGCCCGUCACUCUCCCCAAAUAAAAUUCAACCAUAAUUAAUAAGUUACCUCACACAAAGGGGAGGCAAGUCGUAACAUGGUAAGUGUACCGGAAGGUGCACUUGGAUAAAU
rnacentral:ncRNA from 1 species